rnacentral:lncRNA from 1 species
UCUUUUGUGGUAUUUCUGGAUCCUUUCCAAGGUAGUAAUGGUAUAUGCCUUCUCUCAAAGUAUGUGGUAUUUUUGGUAUAAGGCAUAGUGAUAUUGCCUUCUCUCUCACCCUACUCUAAUAAGGUUUUGAUAUCUGGAGCUCAUAGGUGGGAGACAGCUAAUACAUAUUUACAAGACAUUUAUUGCAUAGUCAAACUAUGGAUCCAGAGAAACAAGUCAAUAAGUCAAAUCAAGAUGUGUGGCGAAUGAAUGGUGUAUGGUGAUGAUGGUGAUAAUGGUGAAAGCAAUGGUGAAAGUCUAAUUCUACGUUUGCUCUUUUGAGGGGAUACAUACCUUUCUUGCACUUUGAAGCUUUUUGAGGAGAAUGAGAUGCUCUAUAUUUUCUUUUUGUUUUUCUCUCAGGUGGGUAUCUUUGUACCCCUAAUUCUACUGUCAGACACUUGUCCAUUUUUACCUCUCGUCUCACUCUUUCUUUUCUUCGAGGUUCCGGGCACUUGCCCCUUUUUAUUUCCUCGUAUCCUCUUUUUUUUAGAGCACUCAUCUCCUUAAAUAAUAUAGCAAGUGGUAGUAACCAAGAUAACUCGAGCAUUUAUUUUACAGGAAAAACAGAAAUGUUUUUGGUUAUUCUCUCCUGGAUUAGGAGUAGAAUACUUUUGGGUGGCUCUGGAGAUGGAAGUGAGUGGAUAUAUGUGGAUGCGUACUUUCGGAGUAGAAGCAGCAUGUGUGAGUGAACGUGCAAGUGAAUCUUGAUUUUAACCACAUGACAAGCUCCUAAGGGUCUACACAGCUUAACCACACUCAAUGCUCAUAAGCAGCAAAAAGUAAAUGUGUGGCUCAAAGUCUAGCAAGCAUGUAUAUAUGGCUGUGGUAGGAAUUUAAACUCUCAUCAUAUAGGAACUCAUCAUGUGUUAUUUUAAAGAUUUUCAAAGAUAAAAUUCUCCAGAAUUCUAGCAUCUCUAGGAACAGAUAAACAGCAGCUCAAUCUUCCCAUAUCAUAUCCAUUAACGACUUAGACUUUAGAUCAAGUACUCUUCCCAUAAGUUUAGGUUUAGAGCAGGUUUAAAUUAUAACAGUUAUGCCUAAACUUGAGAGAUAUUUCAAUUUUAAGAACUAGUCACAGCAGAGCAACUAUUCAUCAUUUCCAUGUGAGAGCUUAUCAUAAGGGUUCAGUUUGGCCUAGACUCUUUAUUUAUUUAUUUAGCAAACUAAGCAAAGAUAUAUAUAAACACAAAAUUUCUAUUUGGGUUUUCAUGAUUAUGCAUCUUUUUAUUAUUCGAGUAAAGUAUAAACGCGAGUAGAAACACUUAGCUAGAUAAAUGGGGGUGCUCUCCCCCAAGCUGGAUUUUGACGUAAUUUCUUCUGAUGUAGCUAGCAAGUGACGGAGGUGUAUUUGAAUGUUGGCAGCACCCUGACAGCGAUUAGGAUGUCCUCCGUCUGCUAGUCUUCUUUGAUCCUUGAAUUCUAUGGAGCUCAAAUAGACAACAAAGCUUUGUGGAACUGGUUAAGUGUUAGCAUAAAAUCUCUUUGCCUUUAUCAUAUUGAGCUUCCUCUAAUAAAUAUUACUUUUUUUGGUAGGAUCAUAAAUUUAUUUUUAUAUUCUCAUUUUUAUAGGACAGGAAUAUUUUUAUGCCACCACAGUGAAUGUACUUAUGGGUUUUAUGCCAUGAGCAUACUCACAUGGGGCUUACUAUUUUUAAUAUUUUUAUUUUUUUUAAGAUAGCAUGAGCCUGAUUAACUAAGCAAGCUAUAAAUAAUUAAAGGGAAAAGGAUAACUACCAAGUUUACCUCUUGGCAAGGCGUUCGGUGUUUUUAAGUCCUCCGAACAGGACUCUCCGUUUUCGCAGUCGUCCUGGGAUUCGCUAGAUGGCGUAGUUGGUGGUUCCGGCGGCGCCUCCUCUUCGUGUAUGACUAUCUUUUCUCUCCACACCUAACUCGGUGCUACGGUCUCCUCAGGACAGUUCUGUUCAAGUUGUAUGUCUUCAGACUUUAUUACAUCUCCUUUGUAGUCUACCGAUCCGUCCUUGAUGAUUUGCCUCCUGUGGUUUCGGUUGCGUUGCCUUCUUCAGAGGGAAGUGCAUGUGGCUUUCUCCGGUUCCAAUACAGAUGAUGGCUUUGAUAGUGUUGAGGAACGGUCUUCCAAGGAUGGUGGGUGGAUCUUACUCGUCUUCCCCAUAUCAAUAACCUGAAAAUCAUCUGGAGCUGAAUGUAUGUUGGUUGUAGGGGUAUGGUUCUAUGUAGGAGCUGAUAAGUGACUGCGACCAUUAUGUUGUCGUCGGAUCUGGUGUCGUAGAGUGUCUUCUAAAAAGAGUAUCCAUUGAUUGUGCACUCGAUGCUUGGAACACUAGGGUUGUCCUUCUUGAUCUUGAGUCAACGAUCUUGACCUCCUCCGACAAGGAUCCAAUGUUUUAAGUCUUCUAGACAAGACUUCUCACCGUCUUCAUCCUUUAGGUGCAUCAUUUGAUUAAGUGUGGACCUUGACAUCUGCACCUCUUGAUACGGAGUCACCCAUGUUCUUUGUUUGCCCAGCAGUUCGAAGUGCGGUGUUGGCAAUAUCCUGCUCAGUGUGUUUGUGCUCGUAGAUCCAGAUCCUUUACUUGGUGGAGUCUAGGAGUUGUAAAACUCCUCCAUAUUUUGUUUGAAGUGUACCUGUUCAUAGAGACAAGGCAUAGAUCAAGUGCAUGGGCCCUGUUGGUGGAAAACACCAACAAAACCAAAAGUGUAUUUAUUCUUCUCUAACCUUAAGCUUAGUGAGCAAGACAAAGUUGAUGGAUCAUGAGUGUAGCAUUUGUCAGAUCAGAUGGCUCAACCUAAUGGAAAGAUAAUCUAUCUAUAUUUAUGUUUUGUUUAUAUCUUCCAAAGAUUGAAUGUGCAACAUAUUAGCUUAUAUGAUUAGGAGUGUGGGAUCACGAAGGUAGUACUA